rnacentral:lncRNA from 1 species
UCUCAGAUCUCUGAUGCACAUCCAAAAGAAGCCCAUUUAUUUUUGGCAUCCAAAAGGGGUGGAUAAGAAGAGAUAAGAUUAGGUGUAAUUUAAUUUGAAUUCAAAAACAAUUCAAACUUGAAUUCAAAAUUCUAGUUGAAUUUAAAUCCAAACUUAAACUAACCCAAUCCUAAUCCAAAAGAGAAAAGGGGGGGCAUGGAACAAGAUUUGGUGUGAGAUUUUUCACGCAAAAAAAACAAAGGUGGCAUGACAUUCUUCUGGCAUGGAGAUAGGGGUUGGCGCUAGGGAGAAGUCC